GCAGCCGCGGUAAUUCCAGCUCCAAUAGCGUAUAUUAAAGUUGUUGCAGUUAAAAAGCUCGUAGUUGAAUUUCGGGAUCAAUAUAUCGGUCGUGCCUUGGUACGUACUGGUAUCAUUGGUUUCUCCUUUCUGACGAACCAUGAUGUCAUUAAUUUGGUGUUAUGGGAAGUUAGGACUGUUACUUUGAAAAAAUUAGAGUGUUUAAAGCAGGCUUUAGCUUGAAUACAUUAGCAUGGAAUAAUGAAAUAGGACGUUCGAACCUAUUUUGUUGGUUUCUAGGAUCAACGUAAUGAUUAAUAGGGAUAGUUGGGGGCAUUAGUAUUCAAUUGUCAGAGGUGAAAUUCUUGGAUUUAUUGAAGACUAACUACUGCGAAAGCAUUUGCCAAGGAUGUUUUCAUUAAUCAAGAACGAAAGUUAGGGGAUCGAAGACGAUCAGAUACCGUCGUAGUCUUAACCAUAAACUAUGCCGACUAGGGAUCGGAUGAUGUUAAUUUUUUAAUGACUCAUUCGGCGCCUUACGGG
rnacentral:rRNA from 1 species